UCCCUGGUGGUCCAAUCGAUAAAACUCUGCGCUCCCAAUGCAGGGGGCCCAGGUUCAAUCCUUGACUGGGGAA
rnacentral:tRNA from 1 species